UACGUAGGGUGCGAGCGUUAAUCGGAAUUACUGGGCGUAAAGCGUGCGCAGGCGGUUUUGUAAGACAGCUGUGAAAUCCCCGGGCUCAACCUGGGAACUGCGGUUGUGACUGCAAGACUGGAGUGUGGCAGAGGGGGGUGGAAUUCCACGUGUAGCAGUGAAAUGCGUAGAGAUGUGGAGGAACACCGAUGGCGAAGGCAGCCCCCUGGGUCAACACUGACGCUCAUGCACGAAAGCGUGGGGAGCAAACAGG
rnacentral:rRNA from 2 species